rnacentral:rRNA from 1 species
AGGGUUCGAUUCUGGCUCAGGAUGAACGCUGGCGGCGUGCCUAACACAUGCAAGUCGAGCGGAGAUAAGUUGAAGCCUAGCGAUUCUUAUCUUAGCGGCGGAUGGGUGAGUAACACGUGGGUAACCUGCCCUGUACUGGGGAAUAACAGCUGGAAACGGCUGUUAAUGCCGCAUAUGCGCACGGAGCCGCAUGACUCCGGGCGGAAAGAUUUAUCGGUACAGGAUGGGCCCGCGCCGGAUUAACUAGUUGGCGGGGUAACGGCCCACCAAGGUGAUGAUCCGUAGCCGACCUGAGAGGGUGACCGGCCACAUUGGGACUGAGACACGGCCCAAACUCCUACGGGAGGCAGCAGUGGGGGAUAUUGCACAAUGGGGGAAACCCUGAUGCCAGCGACGCCGCGUGAAGGAUGACGUAUUUCGGUAUGUAAACUUCUAUCAGCGGGGAAGAAGAUGACGGUACCCGACUAAGAAGCCCCGGCUAACUACGUGCCAGCAGCAGC